UUCAGGGAAGUUCAGUUGGAGAGGCCAACUGUCCUCCUUGCCUCCUGGUGUUGUUUUAGUUUCUCCUGGCAUGUUACUGUGUGACAAUUUCCUUUAUUACUGAGGCUUUAACAUAUACAUGAGGCGCUUCCUUUGCUGGAAGAAGAGAAACUCUGCUGGAGAAUGGUGGAAUAUCCUAAACUGGGUGAGUGACAGGAUAUUCCCAGCCUGACAGGAGGAUAACAUGAGGUGAAACAUUUGUAGGUCUGACCCUCAAGCCAGAAUUUCUCAACUUUGGGUCUCCAGCUGUUUUUGGACUACAAUUCACACCAUCCCUGACCGCUGGUCCUGCUAGCUAGGAAUGAUGGGAGUUGUAGUCCAAAAACAGCUGGGGACCCAAGUUUGGGAAGCCCUGCCUUAAGCCUUUCCUGCUGCCUUUCACUAAGAACCCUAAAACAGGCAGGAGGGGGCUUCCUUUCCCAUCUCCUGUUAGAGCAGCAACCUGUGAGCUCAGCCAUAAUGUAUAGAACAGCCUAGUGCCCUCCAGAUGUCAGCAUCCAACUUCCGUUUGCCCCAGCCAAUGUGGCAAAUGGUCAAGGACUGUGAGAGUUAUGGCCCAGCAUCAAGUGGAGGCACAAGGCUUGUACAGAACAUCAUCCUUCCUGAUUAAAAUUCUACAGGGAAGAACUUGAUUCACAGUGAUUCAUACUUUUUAUAUCGAGAGAACUUAGCAGAGAGAGAUAAUUGACCAAGGUAUCUUUAUUAUGUAGCUUUUCUAUAGUAGCUCAAGGUCGCUCAUACCAUAAAUUUGAAACAAUUCAUAGAAUUAAACAUUUGGGCAGAGCCAGAGGGAAAGAAUUUUCAGAAUCCAAUUUUGGCUUUGUGUGAGCUAAAUAUAGCAAAUACUUUGAAACAAGCAUAUCAGCCAAAUCUUGCCCUGCCAUAUAUAUAUAUAUAUAUAUAUAUAUAUAUAUAUAUAUAUAUUCAGUGUUAGAUCUGCAUUUUAAUAUUUAUACCAAACAUUUAGCAUUGGAAUCUAGUAUGGCUAUCUCAUUUUGAUAACUACUUGUGCUCUGGACCCUUGCCCCCUUGACUGAUAAAAAACUAGCAGGGAGGGGACAACUGGCUGGGCCAGGGAGGUGAUUAAUGCCUGCUUGUGGGAGGGAAUGGCCCUUGCCUGCUUGAAUGUAAAGGUAAAGGGACCCCUGACCAUUAGGUCCAGUCGUGACUGACUCAGGGGUUGCAGCGCUCAUCUCGCUUUAUUGGCCAAGGGAGGCGGCGUAUAGCUUCCAGGUCAUGUGGCUGGCAUGACUCAGUCACUUCUGGCGAGCCAGAGCAGGGCACGGAAACACCGUCUACCUUCCCGCCGGAGCAGUACCUAUUUAUCUACUUGCACUUUGACAUGCUUUCGAACUGCCAGGUUGGCAGGAGCAGGGACCGAGCAAUGGGAGCUCACCCCGUCGUGGGGAUUUGAACCGCUGACCUUCUGAUCGGCAAGUCCUAGGGUCUGUGGUUUAACCCACAGCACCACCCGCAUCCCUCCUGCUUGAAGGAGGCAGUGGUAAAACCAUUUCUCAAUAAACUCUCCAUGGAUUCGUAAGAUCUCAGUAACUUCUGGCCAGUUGCCAAUCUCCCCUUCUUGGGCAAGGUUGUUGAGUAGGCAGACCAGAUCCAGGCACUCGUAGAGGAAACUGAUUUUAUAGAUCCAUUUCCAUCAGAGUUUAGGCCCAAUUUUGACACAAAAACUGCUUUGGUCACCGUGUAUGAUUACCUCUGUUGGGAGAGAGACAGAGGAAAUGUGUCCUUGCUAAUUCUCAACCUCUCAGCGGCUUUUGAUACCAUUGAUCAUGGUAUCCUACUGGAGCAGCUGUCCGAGUUAGAGGUGGGUGGCACUGCUUUGUGGUGGUUCUGGUCCUACUUGGAUGGUCGUUUCCAGAGGAUGAUGCUUUGGGAGUGUUCUUUGGUCCUGUGAAGCCUUCAGUGUGGGAUUCCUCAGGGCCUCAUUUUAUCCCCCAUGCUGUUUAACAUAUGCUUGAAACUGCUGAGUGGGGCCAUCUGGAGUUUGGGAAUAUGUUGUCAGCAAUCGUAUACUGAUUACACACAGCUCUCCUUCUCCUUUACAUCUGCAUCAUAUGGGGAACUGUUGUCUUGCCUUGGUAAUGAACUGGAUGAGAGCCCAUGGCUUUGAAAAUGGUUCAGAAACUUUAGCUGGUGCAGAAUUCAGCGGCCAGGUUGCUCAAUGGUGUCAUACAGUUUGAGCAUAUAACACCAACCCUGACCCGACUCCACUGGCAGCUCAAUUCAAAGUGCUGGUUUUGACCUAAAGGUAAAGGUAAAGGUAAAGGGACCCCUGACCAUUAGGUCCAGUCGUGACUGACUCUGGGGUUGCGGCGCUCAUCUCGCUUUAUUGGCUGAGGGAGCCAGCGUACAGCUUCCGGGUCAUGUGGCCAGCAUGACUAAGCCACUUCUGGCGAACUAGAGCAGCACACGGAAACGCCGUUUACCUUCCUGCCGGAGCGGUACCUAUUUAUCUACUUGCACUUGACGUGCUUUCGAACUGCUAGGUUGGCAGGAGCAGGGACCAAGCAACGGGAGCUCACUCCAUCACGGGGAUUCGAACCGCUGACCUUCUCAAUUCAAAGUGCUGGUUUUGACCUAUAAAGCCUUAAAUAGCUCAGGACCGCAACACCUCAAGGACCGUGAACCGACCUGGACUCCGCAAUCAGCAUAUAAAAGCACCAUGAGAAUGGGCCUUUUCUGUGGUGGCUCUCCAUUUCUGGAAUGCUCUCUCCAGGAAGGCUCACCUGUAUAUAUAUCUUUAGGCUCCAGGCAAAAACAUUCCUCAUCUCCCAGGGCUUUGGCAAAUUAAAGAAUAUAUAACCUUCUAAACUGUGUAUGUGUGGCAGGGGGUGGUAGUUAUUGUUUUGGUUUGCUAUUAUGGUAUGUAUUUUUGUGUUUUUAUAUUGUUAGCUGCCCUCAAAUAAAGGGUGAUAUAGAAAUUUAACAAAUAAUAAUACUAACUACAUCAAACCAUAUUGAUGUUUGCAAUUUAGACAAAAUCUGAUAGUGGUGAUGAUAUGUAAGCAGGCAUUUAUUUUGUGUGAUUUCUUCUAAGGCAAGCCUUUCCAGAGCUUGACUGCAUUUCCUAUUAUUUCCCCCAUUUUAUAUUCCAAACGUUUCAUCUCUGUACAUUGUUUGUGGUGUGUGUGUGUGUGUGUGUGUGUGUGUGUGUAUAAUUGAGAUUCUCCCCAUGGGUUCUUGCAUACCUAGAAUCACAAAGCGAUUGUCCAAAAUGUGAGAUGGGACUGGACUAACCUGUUGGAUGGGAGCCACAAGAAAAACACAAAUCAGCAGAGUGUCUUGGCACUUAGCCUUACCAACUGAUCAGGAAAACAACAACAACAACAACAACAACAACAACAACAACAACAACUGUUGUUGUUUUGCUUUCCAGGACAGUUGUUUUGCUUUCCAGGACAGUUGCCAUGAAGACAAAGGGCAAUGCCAUUCCUCUACAUACAUGCCCCAAGCUGCUUGUGAUGGCACCAUUAAAAAAAUUGGGGGCUUAGACCUUUGAUCUGUCCCUGGACCUGCUCUGGGGUCUGCCCUUUGAACAAGGGGGCAUCACUCUGUUAUACCAGAGCAAGAGAGCAAAUGGCCCUGGCUGGGGUAGAGAGUCAGGUCUAAACAGGAAGUCAGCCUUCCGUUCUUUUGUUACGUGAAGAAAGCAAAGACAAAAUAUACUAAAGCUUAAAAAUUAAAUUCUGAGAGAACUAGAAUUCAACAUCUAAGAUUUCUGAACCCCCCCUUUGACUGCAGGAGAAGAAGGGGGUUGUAUUUGGAUUUUUCAAUCCUGCGGAAGUGAGUUUAAAAUAAAGCAAUUUUCCACCGCCCUGAACCAGGAGCGGGCUGUCAGAAUUGACGUCUUGAAGUUUAUCCAGCUCGACAGUUAGUUAAAAGAAGGGUAACAUUUUGAUUCUACUGUUGCCUCUUGAAUUUGGAAGGGGGAAUUUUGGAUAAAGUGUUUCUGGAAAAAGAAAGAUUGUUGCUGUUGCUUUUAUUCCUUUUUUAAAAAAAAAAAAUUUUCCAUCUAGUGGAAUUUAGUGAAAUUGCAACGCAGAGAGUUUAAAAGAGAAGGACUAUUGGACUAUUGUCGUGGGAAAGAAUUUUCUUUGACCUUGAAGGACAAUGCUAGUACAAAGGCUUGAACAAUUGUUCCUGGAAGGUUUCUCAAAACUAAGUGCCCAGCUGGACCAGAUGCGUCAGGAGACGACCUUGAUGAUGGAAGUUACCAGAGCACAGCAGCAAACAAAUGUAAUUCAGUUAAAGGCUAUACAAGCAUAUGAACCUGCUGUAGUGACGGAGGCUUCAGAGAUGGAGGGACCUUUGGACGGGCGAGAUCAGCCUUUGAACUUGACAAAUGAACUUGGGACAAACCAGAUUCGGAAAGAUGAAAUGUGGUCAGAUUUGGAAAUGGGGGGAUGGAUCGACCCCCCUCUAUAUGGUUAUUUGGACCUUCCGAGUCUAGUGAUAGGCUAUCAGAGGAUUGGAGUAGCCGAAGUCUCCAAGCUUUGUGGAAAUUUGAAGUGGUAUUAUCUGUUGUCUGGCUUGGGCAAUGGGUUUGGGAUGGACUUGCUGCAAAGAGUCAAAAGCAUUUUCUUGCUGGAGUAUCCACGACUGGAAGGGAAUCAUCAACAAGAGUGGCGAAAGGGGCAAGAAAGAGACUUGAGGGCCUCGGACACGAGACAACCAGGUUAAGGAGCCGGAUUAUUGAGGUUAAAAGGACUGACAAUCCCGGGUCCAGGGGAGGGGGUUGGAAGCUGACUGGACUGAAUUUGACUUAUUAUUUUUUCCUUUUUAUUUUUUAAUAUUGGGAAUGCUUAUAAAUGUUUGAAGGAUGUUGAAUGAAAUUACAUGGCUUAAGUAAGGAUUGGUUAAUGAUUCGUAAAAAAGGUAAUGAUGUAAGAAUUUGGUAAAUAUCGAAUAUAAGCUAUGAGUUUUAAAGUAUUUAUAUGACAAGAGGGAAAAUAGAAUAAGGAAACGUAAUGACAGAUUGUUAUGAAAAAACAGAAAGGAUUUGCUGUAAAAAUUAAAAAUUAAGAAACAAGAGAGGGGAGGAGGAGGAACUCUAGAAAGGAAGUAAAUAGAGAUUGUAAAGGACUUUAUAUUUUUGUUUUUCUGUUUUUCCUUUUUUUUCUUUGCGGCUGGUCUUUUUUUUUUUUGUUGUUUAUGCACUAUUUUUGUUUUUUGUAUUUUCAAAAUUUUUUGGAAACUUUUGUUGUUAUUCUUUGAAAACUUAAUAAAUAUCAAUUAUAAAAAAAAAAAAAAUAGAGAGUCAGGUCUGUACUCUUGCCUGCCUCUCAUGAACCAGGAAAUAGUCACCAUAGGUUCAUGACAAACACACAUGUACAGGAUGUUGCAUGGUAUGUGUGGGUGGGUAGAUGGAUUGCUGGGCAGAUAUCUAAGUGUGCUUGAGUGAUACCACACCAACAUUUUAGACUUGACAUGUGGAACAUUUGCCAGGAGGGGGGAGGAGUUUCACCACCACAAAGUGAAGCUGGUUACCUGGUGGUGCACAUAAAAUUAUAGCCCUAUGAACUGAAACAUGUUCAAUUACUUUCACGUUUUAAUUUUCCCCGAACUAUGUUUAGUUGUCACACCUGCCAUUGUUAUAAGGCCAAUUUUGCACGUUGAGAAUUCAGAUUGAAACACAAUGGUUUCACCAAAGCUACGUAGCAGUUCCACUGGAUCUCAUAGCAACUGAGCUCAGAUCUUUAAAUUCUCUGUUUCUAUCCUCUAGACCACAUUGUAGUAUUGCUUUUCUAAACGUUACGUGAAGAAUUAGUCUCUGUGUUUCCCAACUUACAAUUUGCCUGAACAGUCAUAAUUAAAGGUAAUUUCAAAGGCCUCUUUCUUGCUGCCAGUACCAUGGGGUCUAAAUUGCUAAGCUGAAUAGUAGACAGGGAUGACAUUUUUACCGUGCAAGCAGGAAGAGCCGUAAUAUCCAAUGCAUCUUUUUUGCUUUUGUCUGGGAACUUUGCCCACUAAACAAGACAUUUGCUGCACCAUAGGGCAGACUACCCUGUAAAAAUCUUUUAAAUGUUCAGAGCAUUAUAAAGAAAUAAUAAUCAUAAAGGCUGGCGAGGAGUGGGAAAACCCAAGAGCUUUUAUUACUGCUCCUGGUGAGUUUUAAUUCCACCUUCCCCAAUUUCAAUCCAUACUGUUGUGCCUCAUUUAGCAAAGCACACUAAGGUUCUGCCCAAUCAAAACACCUAGCAGUAUCCUUGAACCAGCUCGGCAUUGAUCUUGUAAUGGUUUCAAAAGAGUGGUUACAGUGUGUAAUGAUCCAUGUCAGCCGCAUACAUAUACACAAAACACAGGCACCAGCCAACUGCAGAAUGGCAACAUGGUGUGUGUGAGGGGAAGAAUUAAGGGCUUUCAGAUCUCCAGAUGCUCAGCUGCUCCAGUAGCCCAAGGCAGAAAAAAAUGCUGACACUCCAGCCUUUACAAGGGCAGGGCUUAGGUUAACCCUUUUAAAGCCAAGCCAUGACAAUAUGAAUGAAUCAACAUGGUUUCCUAUGGCUGAAGCAAGAGCUACAACAGAGGCUGGGGUUGUGAGGCUCAACAGGAUCUACAGUGCCAGGUUUUGUGAUAUGCUGGGCAGGAUAACAUCAGUGAGCCCCUCUCAUUCUGUUGCAGUCUUGAAGUACUGUUCAGAGGGGGGCGGGGUAUGACAGAAGAAGCUGUGCAAUCAUUCCCUGUGAUUUGGCCAUGUCACCAUGGAAUUGAGAGAGUGUCCCAGAAGCAACAACAGUGGCUCUUGGCAUGUUUGACCCCCAAAUUGGUCUGGAUCUCAGCAACUGUUCAACGUUCCCAAUUGCUAGCACCAGCCAUGGCUUCUGAUAAACUGGGGAGGCCAUGGACCCAAAGUCUGGUCUAACACACUCUCGAGGAACUAGAAUUCUCCUGAGAAAUAUCCACCAAGCUCAUUCGGAGAAGCCAGACCCCCAAUUCACUACACAAAGCACAUUUCCCUUGUGAUUUAAUUAUACAUGGGGUGAGAGCUAAUUUGCGUGGUGUUUGCCUCUCAUGGUCAUUGACUUGUCUCCACACUGCCUGGGUACUUAGCACCAGGGCUCUUUUUGAGCCAGAACUCCCUGGGACUCAGUUCCAACACCUCCCAGGUGUACGCCAUUGCCAUUAUAAGAGAAUAAGGGAGGCACUCAUGGUGAGUUCCGGUACCUCUUUUUCUAGAAAAAUAGCACCACCCACACAUGCAAAUAGCUAACUGGUUGGGGAGACCUCAGUUUGAUCUCUUCAGCUGCUCUAAGCUUGAAAACAGUAUUGGGAACUGCUCAUAUCUAGAACAGUGUGGUGGUGGUGGGGAAAUAUGCCACUAGCAGUGUUCAGCUUGGAUGGACUGUCAAAAUUCCUUCUGAGAAAAAAUGAUGAUGGCCUUACACACCCUUAGCAUUCAUGUGACCUCCAUGUCAUUUGUGUUAAUAAUAAGGAGAGUGUAAUUUCUGGAAACAGGAAUGAUUUAAGUGAGGAUUUACUAGUAAAUAUGCUUUAUUCUCAUAAGUAGCUAAUAACCACAGCUGUCUCCCUCCUAUUGGUAGUUGUAGAUAUGACAGAUCUCAUUACUCAUUAAAUAUAAAGGCACAGCAUUAUAACUAGACUGACAUCCACUCCUUUCACUCUCCAAUUACUCGACCACAGAUUAAUUGGAAGUAACACAAAUGUUUCUGGCAGCAUAAAAUGUUGUUGACUCCAAGCUGGCUGUUUCAGAUGCCUCGGCACGGAAGCAGAGAAAAGUCAUGCAUGCUGUUUGGAAGCACCAUUUAUGGCGUACUGAGGGGCUCACAUGCUCUCUGAACAGUCUUGCACUUUGAUGAGAAGGCAGUUAAAACUGUAAAUAGUAUUUAAACCAUCUAUGCUGCACUGCUGUUCUUGUAUUUGGAAAGGACUUAAUGCUAGGUGUCUGCUUGGCACUUGUAAAUAAGAGCUUAUCUCUUCUGCUAUGUCUUCUGCUGAAACCAUGAUUCCUAACAAAGGCAUAGGGUGGAGUUCAUUGGUUCUGAGAGAAGAUUAUUCAUGCAUGAUCUAGACUUUUGUGAGAGGGAUUUGGAGCCAGAUGUCCAUGGCACCCAAACCCUCUUGAAACAGAAGUUGAGGAGGAAGGUCUCAGUCUUAAGUAUUACCACUGCAGCUGAAGCUGUCCAGGGUGCUACACCCACCACUUCUGCUGGAUGUAGUAUUUACUACCCUCCCAGCUAGAAGUGUAGCUGGCUUCCUAUAUCUGCUGUAGACUCAAGUUUCUAGUAUCUUCUUCCUGUUGAUAACAAUGGCAUUGCAGAAGAAAAAAGAGGUGUGCAUUUAAAAAUGAGGUUGUGUGCUCCUAUCAAGAGCUCAGGAGAUAGGCGCUAGUUCCAGCCCAAACAGAAAGUGUUUUCUUGCUUGUGGCUUAGUGAAUUAUACAUGAUGAUGGAGAAUAAGGAUGACAUAGGGACACAUACAUGACUUCCACAUUAAGGAAAACCUUCUGGUAGCCCAAAUGCUGCAUAUAUUAUUCACGAGCAUUCAUUCUUUCCCUGCUCUGACACUUGCUUUACCACCAAGGUCAGCGUGAAAGUGAAUUAGACCUUGCUCCUUGAAACUAGAUUGCAGAGGAUAAAAGUAGAUUGAAUUAGGAACAUCUGGUGGUGUCAGAUUUCUCUUUAAUGUGGUAUCCACCUUUUUUCUUUCUGUGGCAACAUUGGAUACUGUUUGACAGCUAGUAUCCAGUUGAUGUCAAUAGCUGAAAACAUCAGACAUUCAGCAGUUGAUAGAAUUUGACAGCCAAUGUGUCAUAGAAUCUAGGAAACCUUUUGCAUUCAUGUCAAUCAAAACAGGUGAAUGUUAAUAUCAAAACAUCAAUCCUGCAUAUAUAUAUAUAUAUAUAUAUAUAUAUAUAUAUAUACACAUUUCAAAAUUAGCCAAAGUAGAAACUUAGACUUCAGAUUAUAACAAUUUUUCUUGUUUCAAUUCGACUCUGGAUCUUUCUUUCUUUUUUUUUAAAAAAAGUGUUUAUUAAUUUUCCAAUUAAAACAUCUAAUUAACAUAUCAAAUCAAAUCCAAUGAAAAUAAAAAACUAAAAUAAAAAAGUCCAAUUGUCUCUGGAUCUUUCUAGUAUUUGAUGAGUUUUUAUUCAUGGUCCCUUGAUUCUUAUUUAUCUUUUAUUAUAAUUAACUGGAAUAUUAUGUAAACAUUGCUGUUAAAAUCUAUUGCUGAAUCUCAUAUCUCCUAUUGCACUAUGCAGGGUUAUGAUGGAUUACAUAAAAGUAUUACUGACUGCUGUCCAUUAAAUUUCACAGUCAAGGAGGAGGGUUUCAAACCUCUUACCUUUCAUUUCAUUUCUCUUGAAGCAAACUGAACUCCUAAUAUCACCCCUCCAAAUCAGCUUCCCCAUUCAGCAUUGUCCUCUUCUCCCUUCCCUUCUGAAGCCCUGUUCAACAAAUACCUUCUCCGCUCAGGACCUUGGCUUCUAGUUCCAUCUUUCCCACCUGGGCUGAGCAUGAAGAAACAGGCCUGUGGCAGUGACUUGGGCACAAUACAUCCAGCAACCAUUUGUCUUUGACACCUCGGAUCAUGAGAAAAAGAUAGAAUGUGGGGGGACAGGCUAACGGUUGCUUUUACUGUGUAAAAUGUUAUGACUGGGCCACAGGAGUAGAGGGGAGAGUGAGCCAAGCAGGAGUUUCAAGGCCUCAGCUGCAGAACACAUGAGGUAGCAUGGGAAGAGAAGGAAGUGCAUGGAAUAACCUUCUUGGAUCAGGGCCUCCCUGAGAGCCUGGAAGGAGUGGAGCUUCCAGCUCCUAUACAAGCUCCCACUCUGAGCUGCUUCAUUGUUGAAGCAAGCAUUCCCUUCCAUGCUCUAGCCUGGGCAAAUGAAUAUAUACACAUUUUAUAUUUGGACGCAUGGUUCAUCUAUUUGUAGCUGAAUCCAGUUGGAGAGGAUAUCUGGAAACACAUCUGGCACUGAAGCUUUUGGUCUCUUAGUGCCAGGCAAAGACCUACCUGUUUGCCUCAGUGUUUAUAGAAUCUUGGGCAUUGCUGCGAUUUGUGUAGCUAGGACUCAAUUCUAGUGUUGUAUUUUUGUCUGCGCUUUAUAGCUUUACAAUUGUUGCUGUUCUAAUUAUGUUGAAACCCAUCCUGGCAUCACAUGCUGAAGAACAUGCUAAAAUGCAUACGUAAGUAAAUAAGUCUGGGGAUAUAUAUUUUUUUAUCCUUUUCAGCAACUGGUCUACCCACCCCCAAUUGUUUGCAUAACUCAUAAAUUUCCUGGGUGCAAGAAAGCUGCAUCUUUUAAAAUUGUUUUUGGCAUAGAUAGUUCACUGUAAGCAGAUGCUGCGUCUCACCAGUUGCAUAGAGUUGGCUGCCAAAUACAAAGAUCAUAUGCAUGGAGGGAGGGAGCAAUAUUGUGUCAACAGGCUGUGCCCCCAGUCUGUGAACAUUCCUUAUAAUGUGUGUCGAGAACUCUUAUGUGUAUAGCUGUACCCACGAAGAACUCUCUUUCUCCCAGAUGCAAAUCCUGGGAAAGUUUUGCUAAAGAGUACUUGGGCUAAUUGGCUUUGGAGCUUAUUUUUUAUUAAUGGGUACUAUUUUGUUUCAUCUGGAUUGACUGCAAAGGCUGUCAAGAGUGUUCUACCAGAAGCCGAGAUACUGGGAAAAUUCUGAAAAAUACCGUUGGCUGCAGUUGCUGCAUGUUUUGCUUGUUGGAACUAUUUCACAUAGUGCAGAAAUGAAGAGUCUCCUAAUGUUCACUAAGAGUCAGCCAUUUAUUUUCUGUGAUGCUUUUGAAGGGGAUCUGCACAUAUUAAAGUGUGUGCUGAAUAUCACACAUUUGCAGGAACUGCAAGUGUACCACAUGCUUUCUGAUAUAGCAAUGGCUGCCAGGCAUUUGAAAAGUAGCUCAGGGUAUCCAUGGGCAUACUGCAUCACCUCUGCAAUGCCUGACCUCUCACGCAUCAUGUUAUUCAUAUAUGUAUAUAUGUAUGUAUAUAUGUAUUAUGAGGCCCUCAUGGUCCCUUCCAAGCCUUAUGAGGAACGGUUGAAGGAGCUGGGUAUGUUUCACCUGGAAAAGAGGAGACUGAGAGGAGAAAUGAUAGCAACAUUCAAAUAUCUCAAGGGUUGUCACAUGGAUGAGGGAACAAGCCUGCUCUGGAUGGUAGGACUUGAACCAAUGGAUUCAAAUUGCAAGAAAGGAGAUUCUGACUAAACAUCAGGGAAAAAAUUCUGAUAGUAAAAGCUGUUUGACAGUGAAACGGUCUCCCCUGGGAAAUGGUGGGCUCUCCAUCCUUGGAGGUUUUUAAGCAGAGGUUGGAUGGCCACCUGUCAUGGAUGUUUAAGCUAAGAUUCCUGUAUUUCAGAAGGUUGGACUAGAUGACCCUUGGGGUCCCUUCCAAGUCUACAAUUCUAUGAUUCUACGAUUCUAACUAUACAAUACCUCCCAACAUUCCUCAGGUGAAAAUAGGAAUGUUUUUCACUCCUCCCCAACUGACCCUCCUCAACUCCCCAUUUUUUUGCCACCACCACCACACCAAUAGGACAUAGCACACACUUUAUCCACAAUCCUGAGAAAACUCCUUAAUCCUGAUUUGAUUUGAUUCUUUGAUAGAUUUACAAAAAGGGAAACACAUACCAAUAAAUAAAUUUUAGAAAGGAGCAAUAUUAGACACAGACACACAAAGCAUUUUUUAAAAAUCAAAAACUCAAACUCCUUACAUUCCACUCCACUACCUGUUUCUUCCAACCCAGAGCAUCCUUGCCCUCUGCCUGCCCUCAGAGCCAGUGUGUCACGUGGUGUUGGGCCUCAGUGGCGGCAGCAUCUCCUCUUCCUCAUUUUCCAGCAGCUGUUCCAAGCUGCCCAAGGGAGGAGGCUGGCAGCAGCGGCCAUGAAGAGGCCACAGGAUGCUGCCUUGCUGCUGCCACUGCCGCUGCUCAGGACAAGUGGCAGCUCAUCUCACUCCCUGAAUGGCAGCUCUGGAGCGGGAAGUGGAGGCAUUCCGGAAUCAAAUCAGAAGCCGGGAUGACUUGUCAUUCUUGGUCUGUCCCUGGAAAACAGGGACACUUGGAGGGUAUGCAGUUCUAUGAUUCUAUUCUAUGUUUCGAGGCCCCCUCACGCAUCAUCAUGAUUUAAAAUGUAUGUCACACAUUCUCUGAUACUGAAGAGGUAACUAGAAUGGUGUAUGCUUAUAAAACCCAUCAACAGUGCUAUUACAAGUUCCCUGAACUAUGCAAUGCUCCACUUUAGCAAUCUUCUUCCUCUUUGGUGAUCACUCGUAGCCGAGUAAGAUUGUCUUCCAUAAAGACGGUUUUAACAGUGACUGUGGAGGCCAAUUCUGGAUCCACACGUCCUUCCACAGUGGGGACAUUGGUUUCCGGGCAGGAGUUGAUCACGGUGUGGAUUUGCCAAGCGUGCUUUCCUCUUAGCACGUUUCUCCACUUUAGUAAUAAAUACAGUGGUACCUCUGGUUAAGAACUUAAUUCGUUCUGGAGGUCCGUUCUUAACCUGAAGCUGUUCUUAACCUGAGGUACCACUUUAGCUAAUGAGAUCUCCCACUGCCGUCACGUGAUUUCUUUUCUCAUCCUGAAGCAAAGUACUUAACCCGAGGUAAUAUUUCUGGGUUAGCAGAGCCUGUAACCUGAAGCAUCUGUAACCCGAGGUACCACUGUAGGAGCUUUGUGAACAGGUGAGGCCCCAGACUUCAAACACCCCAGUUCUAUGGAUGUUUCCCUGCACCUGGAAAUCAUGACAGUUGUGUUCAAUGAGGCUCACUUCCUGAGCAAGUGUUUCAUAGGAUCAAUGGCCGUAGGUCAUAUUAUGUGGUGAAGUAUUUCAAGGCACAGUGAAAAAUACUUCACACCACUCACAUGUGAAAGUCAAUCCUGUGCUGAGUUUUGUGUUGUGGUCUAUUGUUAGGGGCAGUAGCUUCUGAGACAUGGUCAAUAGGUGUGGAUUUUGAGGUACCUCAAGUUAUAUGUUAUUAAUGUAUUUUAUUUCUACCUUCCUUAACAGGCAUGGGGAAAGUGGUGGAUAAUGUUUUAAGUCUGGUGUAGGCAGGGGCUAAAAUGAUAUUAUUGGUGGAGAGCCUUCUCCAGGUGGUGCAAUCCUGUCACCAACAUAAUUAUGGGUUGUGGAACAAUUAUGUUAUCCUGAAAUUGGGGAGGGAAAAAUAGUUCUCCUGAAGUGAUAAACUUUUUCUUUUCUUUUGCCUAGCUAAACUUCAACAGCAUUUCAUCUAAUUUCUUCCCAUGGUGUGAAUAUUAAGACCACACAAAUCUCCCUUUUUCCUAG
rnacentral:lncRNA from 1 species